GACAAACGCUGGCGGCGUGUAUUAGGCAUGCAAGUCGCACGAGCCUUCGGGCUAGUGGCGGACGGGUGAGUAACACGUGGGUAACCUGCCCCGUGGUGGGAAUAACUCGCCGAAAGGCGAGCUAAUACCGCAUAAUACCCCCGGCGAAAAUCCGGGUAGGUAAAAGCCGCAAGGCGCCACAGGAGGGGCCCGCGGCCGAUUAGCUUGUUGGUGGGGUAAUGGCUCACCAAGGCGACGAUCGGUAGCUGGCUGAGAGGAUGGUCAGCCACACGGGGACUGAGAUACGGCCCCGACUCCUACGGGAGGCAGCAGCUAAGAAUCUUGCGCAAUGGGCGAAAGCCUGACGCAGCAACGCCGCGUGGAGGACGAAGGCCCUCGGGUUGUAAACUCCUUUUGCGAGGGAAGAAGUUCUGACGGUA
rnacentral:rRNA from 1 species